rnacentral:rRNA from 1 species
CACGUAGGGGGCGAGCGUUGUUCGGAAUUACUGGGCGUAAAGGGCAUGUAGGCGGCUUUGUAAGCUUGGCGUGAAAUUCCACGGCUUAACCGUGGGAAUGCGUUGAGAACUGCGAGGCUUGAGUGACGGAGAGGGAGCUAGAAUUCCUGGUGUAGGGGUGGAAUCUGUAGAGAUCAGGAAGAAUACCAAUGGCGAAGGCAAGCUCCUGGCCGAUGACUGACGCUGAGGUGCGAAAGUGUGGGGAUCAAAC